GAGUAACACGUGGGUAAUCUGCCCUGGAGUGGGGAAUAACACCGGGAAACCGGUGCUAAUACCGCAUACGAUCACGAUGUCUGCGGAUGUUGUGAUGAAAGGAGCAAUUCGCUCCAGGAGGAGCCCGCGGCUGAUUAGCUAGUUGGUGAGGUAAUGGCUCACCAAGGCUACGAUCAGUAUCCGGUCUGAGAGGACGGUCGGACACACUGGAACUGAGACACGGUCCAGACUCCUACGGGAGGCAGCAGUGGGGAAUUUUUGGCAAUGGGGGAAACCCUGACCAAGCAACGCCGCGUGGGUGAUGAAGUCUCUUGGGACGUAAAACCCUUUCGACGGGGAAGAAACCGCAAGGUUGACGGUACCCGUAGAAGAAGCCCCGGCUAACUCCGUGCCAGCAGCCGCGGUAAUACGGGGGGGGCAAGCGUUGUUCGGAAUUACUGGGCGUAAAGGGUGCGUAGGCGGUGCGCUAAGUCGGAUGUGAAAACUCUGGGCUCAACCCAGAGCCUGCAUCCGAAACUGGCGUGCUAGAGUUCUGGAGGGGGUAGCGGAAUUCCUGGUGUAGCGGUGAAAUGC
rnacentral:rRNA from 1 species